GGGGGAGGGCGUCUGGGGGGCGGGAUCCUUCACGGGGUCUUGCCAGGACCUCCUGCUGCCCCAGUCCCAGCCUGUGAGCCUUGGGUCCUGUCCCUCCCAGACUGGAAGGUGCCUGCUGCUCCCUUCUGCAGCCCCACUCAUGCCCCGCACCCUCAGGCUGGGGAAUGAGGUGGAGGGGCUGCAUGCGUCCCUGGUGGUGCUGCGGGAGAAGCUUCUAGAAGUGGAGCAGUCGCUGGGCAACCUGGAGUACGUGCAGGAGCCUGGAGAAAAACAUCGCCGUCAAGACCAACAGCCUCUAUGUCGACCGCCAGGCGUGCAUGGCCACCACGCCGCUACCCCACGGUCCUGCAGCUGCGCCUGGCUGCCAGUGAGUAUCUGGCACCGUGCAGGCGCCGUCCUGCGUUUUCUGUCCCGUCUCCCAAAUAAAGAGCACGUUAGCUUUCCA
ensembl:lncRNA novel transcript